rnacentral:lncRNA from 1 species
ACCAAGCCAUGCUCACACUUUUAAGCAUAAAUCCACACUCCUUUUGUGACAUUCAUGUGCCAUAAUCACUCCAACAAUCUCUCUUCUUGUUAUAUAAACACCAACAUGGUGUCUAACAACCCUAACUCAAACACAACAAACUUACACAACUACCUUAGCAUCUCCUAGCUAAUUCCAUUAUCUUCAAGACACUAUCUUUUCUUCUUUCUCAAGCAAGAUGGCAUUCAUUUCAAUCUCCAUUGCCACAAGGAGCUUUCAGAAUGCAUGUGAUGAAGGUGAAUGGUUUUGUUAUGCAUCUGUAGGUUGCAUUGAACAAGAUAAUCACAUUGGAGAAGAAGAUUCAUACAGGGAAGGUGAUGAUGACGAUGAUGGUGGAUAUGAUUAUGCUCCCGCUGCUUAAACUCUAAUAUAUUAUCUAACUAUAGAGUUAGAAUUUGUGUUAGACUUAAGAGACAUAAUCAUAUAAAACUGACUUGUAAGGUGAAAAUUGUCUCUACUUGUAAACUUAUGUUGUGGCCUUUUCCGAUUUAAUUAAUAUGUGACUCUUAAUAUUAGCUUGACUAGUAUGAGGUCAAUUUUCUUUUCAAUGUUAAAUAUUAGCUUGUCUCUAUUAUGUUCAUCACUGAAACAUCUCUUAUUUCUAAAUGUUAACCACUCAAUAUUAACCCUAGAUUUAACCUAAUUUUUUCGCGUGACAUUACUAUAUUAAUCCUAGAUUUAGUUUAUGCAAAACAUCAUCUCGUAUCUCUUAUUUCUAAAUAUUAACCCGUGACGCAAUAUUAACCUUAGAUUUUAACCUAAUUUUUUCGCGUGACUCUACUAUAUUAACCCUAGAUUUAAUUUAUGCAAAAUGUCAUCUCUUAUUUGUAAAUUUUAACCCUUGACGCAAUAUUAACAGUAGAUUUAACCUAAUUUUUUCGCGUGACUUUACUAUAUUAACCCUAGAUUUAAUUUAUGCAAAAUGUCAUCUCUUAAUUCUAAAUGUUAACCCGUGACGCAAUAUUAACCCUAGAUUUAACCUAAUUUUUUCGCGUGACUUUACUAUAUUAACCCUAGAUUAUGCAAAAUGUCAUGUCUUAUUUCUAAAUGUUAACCCGUGACGCAAUAUUAAUCCUAGAUUUAACCUAUUUUUGGCGUGACUUUACUAUAUUAACCCUAUAUUUAAUUUAUGCAAAAUGUCAUCUCUAAUUUUAACCUAAUUUUUUCCUCCACACUUUUGCAUUUAAUGUUUAUCUAAAGUAAAAUAAAAUUAUGUUCCUAAUUAUAUGCUGUUUUUUUAGAAAUGAAUAAUCGUUAACCCGUCUUGCUAUACUUAACCUAAUCUCUUACUUAUAAAUGUUAAUCUGUCUUACUAUACUUAACCUAUUAUGUUACGUUACGGUAUCACGGAAUAUGUCAUGGAAAAUUAUUUAUGGUAUAGUAACAACGUCUAUGCUUCUUAGUAUUAUGAAAUACUAUAUGACAAUCAUGACAUUCAUCUAAACUAUUUUGUUACCUAUUACCGUUAAAUAUUACAUUCCAUAUGACCUAUGCGUUAGCACGGGUCGAUGGUCUAGUAUAAGUUAGUUUUUUGACGGACUAAGUUAGUUGAAAAAAAAAACAAAUUUUUUUUAUCUAUAAUAAUGGAUUCAUGAAGAGUAUAAAUUUUAUAAAUAAGUUUGUAACAUUGUUAAAAAAAAAAAAAUUAAGCCUACACCAAAAUUUAAAUCUGGCAAAGAAUAAUCCCAAUAUUCAAAUAUAUGUCACACAAUGUGAAUCUAGUAUUUGUUGAAUUCAUAGUUGAAGCCUAAAGUUUGAUUAAAGGAAUUGGGAGGAAGUUGAGGAACAUAGUUAUAUUUUGACUAAUGUGUAGUUGAAAAUUUUAUUUUAAUUUGCUUUACAAUUAUUAAAAAACAAAAUUUAUAUACAACAUUUAGACUAUUGACAAUAGUUUGUUGGAAGAGAUAGAGUGUGUGGAAAAAAAAAUAGAUUGUCAGAAAAUGUAUAGCAAUUGUUUGUUACAGGAGAAAGAUAAGGAAUCAAAUUUAUUGAAAAAAGAGAAUGUGUGUUAAUGCCUAAAAAAAUUUGUCAAAAGAAAAGUAAUUUAUUAUGGAUUAAAAUGAGAAUAUAAUAGCCCCCGUGAGCAUAGUUUAGUUGGCAGGGACAUGCAUUAUUAUAUGCAAGGGUUGGGGUUCGAACCCCCGGACACACCCACUUAUUCACCUUAAAAAAAGAUGAAUUCUAGCCACCAUACUACUUGAUAAAAAUAAAAAAAAAUAAAAAAAAAAUAUAAUAGGAAGAAAAAAAAAACUUUAAAAAUCCACUUCAUUAUUUUAAGUGCACUAUUCUAAAACAACAUUUAAAAAUAAACGGAUAGACUAAUUAAUGUACUAUCUGUAACAUCUACACUAUCCACUAAAUUUUACCAAACAGUUCCUAAACUAUACAUAAAUUUCUCUAAAAGUAUAUUAUAAUCAUUAAUCAAAAUAGAAUUUUCAUUGUGAUCAAUCAUAAUCAGUUUUGAAAUGCUCAUAUGUUCACCCACCAAAAAAAAUGCUCAUAUAUCCAAAUAGCAAAUGUAAUUGGCAAUGAUUUUAUCUAUUUCCAUGUGUGCAAGUUGACAAAAAUUGUACCGGCCACCACCUGCAUUGCAUUAGGUCUUGAUUGAAAGCAUAUAUGUUUGCAACUUCAAUUUCUAGUAUCAUAUAUGAUCAUUUUGGAAAAUUGAUAGUGUGAUAGAUUAGGUUGACCUAACCUUACAAUUUCUAGGAUCAACUUCGAUAUUUUGAAAAUGCAGUAUAUUAACAUAUGCAAUUUCCCCUCUAUCUCACACUUUCUUGUUAGCAAAUUUAAAUAAACAUAUACAAUUUUUUUUUUAUCAAAGGCACUAUAUUAACGCACUAGGUGAAAAGGAGAAAAAAUGUGACUAUCAUUUUAUAAAAUGAAAAAUAAAAAGUUUUCACAAAGUAAACAUAUUUUUGAUAGGUAUAAAACAUCCAAUCAUAAAAAAUAAAAAAUAAAAAAUCUUUUUUUUUCUUUUUUUUUCUUCUCUUUUUCAAAACAUCCAAUCAUAAAUUAUAGCACUACAAAUUCAAUUUUAGUUAAAUUAGUUCUAAAAUCAAUUCCCCCUCUAACAAUUUUUCUUCCUAACACAAUGGACCAGUCAUUCCACUUUCUAUUCCCUAACACUUUAUAUAACCAUGCAUCCACUCAAAGAUUCUAUCAUUUUUUUUGGCUGCUUUUUCCAACGUGGAAGAAGUUUUGCAAUGUGGCUAAACAAAAUCGCAUCACACAUGAGGCACCAAGCAAUGCUCACACUUUUAAGCAUAAAACCACACUCCUUUUGUGUCAUUCAUGUGCCAUAAUCACUUUAACAAUUUCUCUUGUUAUAUAAACACCAACUGGUCUCUAACAACCAUAGCUCAAACCCAACAAAUUCACACAACUACCUUAGCAUCUCAUAGCUAAGUCCAUUAUCUUCUUUAAAACCUCAUAUUUCAAGGCACUAACUUUCCUUCAAUCUCAACCAAAAUGGCAUCCAUUUCCAUUGCCAUUGCCACAAGGAGCAUUAAGCAUGUAUAUGAUGAAGAUGAAUGGUUUGGUUAUGCUGCAUCUGUAGCUUGCAUUGAAGAUUAUCACACUGAAGAUGUAGAUUCAUCAUACAAGGAAGGUGAUGAUGACGAUGAUGGUGGUUAUGACUAUGCUCCCGCUGCUUAAACCCAUCUAUUAGUAUUAAGUGACUAUAGUCUAUAUAGUGUAAGAAUUUUGGUUGAACUAACUUAACUCUACAAAACCGCUUUGUAAGUUGAUGAUUGUAUCCACUUAUACAUUUAUGGUUAAGUUUUAUGUUACUUAAUGUGUGACUCUUAUUAGCCGACUAGUAUUAGUUAACCAAAUGUAUGCUUCAAACCUUUGUUUAAUUUGGGGAUUUUAAUUUUCUUAAUUAUGGUCAUAGAAUAGACUUGAGCUAGUAGGAUGUAUUUGAUCCUUCACUU